GCCUGGCUGGCUUAGUCGGCAGAGCAUGUGACUCUUGAUCUCAGGGGUUGUGGGUUCGAACCCCACACUGGGUG
rnacentral:tRNA from 1 species